rnacentral:lncRNA from 1 species
CGCCUCACCUGGCAGCAGGGACUUUGUCUCCUUCACCCCUACAGCCGACACCCCUAAACCCGACUGCUCAGGCAGUCACCCCCCAAAGGAAGGAAAGAAACCUAAGUCCCUUGGAGAACUCGAGGCACUGAUAGGGAGGAUCCCUCCGGCAGGAGACACAAGAGCAGCAUCCCCUCGGUGGACGAGCCAUCACCACAAACCACCUUUCGGGUUUUUGGAGAGAAGGCUGUAUUGGCUGGAGCCAAAACAAAACAAAGAACUCUAUCCACUCCACCUCGGCCCCCGAAAUUGAAUGGCACUUGGCAGUGGUAAAGGAGCACGGUAGAUAUUAAAUCACCCACACUCAGUUGGAUUGGCCACAGGAUUUGAGGGAAGCCAUUAAAGAAUUAGUUGAAAUGGUUUAGCCAUUUCAUCCCUUGUGUUUAGCCUGCACUCACGUCUAUCCUUCCUUUUAUCUUUCCUUUUCACCUGCUCAGCCCUCAGCCACCAGUGGUGCUGCAACCCACGACCCCCAAGGAAGCCCACCCGGGGGUGGAUGCACACAACACAUGAGCAGAGAACACAGAGGCUUCAGGCCUUUGUCUCCUCUCACCCCGGAACCUGGGGUCAGUCAGAAGGGAAGGAUCCAGAACAUGUGGGGUAGGGGGUGGUGGAGAACCUGCAGAUCCUCAUGAGAGGAGACCAAGGAAGAUGGGAGAGUUGAGAGAAAGGGAAAGUAGAGGAGAACAGGGUCGGGAGUGGGCGGUGGAAAAACUAGAAGGGAGAUGAGGAUGGAAUUAGCUGAAAGGGAAGGGAAGGC